GGCGGUUAAGGUCGGUGUGUAUGGUAUUGGUAUUACAAAAGUGAAUAAUGUAUAAAUAGGGACAAAUAAGGUAGUACUGUACUUGGUUCAUAACUUCAUAUACAUAAUUAAUUGACCAGGUAGUAGUUCCCAGAAAUCACGUGGCCUCCACAUGCUGCUGCUAUAUUUUAAACAUUACAAUUGUGUCUCGAUCUGCUCCAUGCUCUUAAUUUCCUUGUGAGUCCUCAUCCUCGCCUUCAAAUUACUAGUAGCUGCGUCCUUGGAUCAAUUAAUUCUGGUCUUUAAAGUGGGACACCCAAUGCAUGAAGAUGAUGUUUAUAUGCAAAGUACCCCUUGAUAGAUAAGUUCAAUCAUCUUCGUCUAUUUUCUUGAGGCAGACUCCUCUCCAGUAAUGGAGAGAGAAACAUUGUAAAAACUAAUACAAAAAGUAAAAUGAAAUAAUAAUUAUAUCUU
rnacentral:lncRNA from 1 species